rnacentral:rRNA from 1 species
UACGAAGGGGGCUAGCGUUGCUCGGAAUCACUGGGCGUAAAGGGCGCGUAGGCGGCUUAUCAAGUCGGGGGUGAAAGCCCGUGGCUCAACCACGGAAUGGCCUUCGAUACUGGUAGCUUGAGACCGGAAGAGGACAGCGGAACUGCGAAGUGUAGAGGUGAAAUUCGUAGAUAUUCGCAAAGAACACCAGUGGCGAAGGCGGCUGUCUGGUCCGGUUCUGACGCUGAGGCGCGAAAGCGUGGGGAGCAACAGG